UUAAGCGACUAAGCGUACACGGUGGAUGCCCUGGCAGUCAGAGGCGAUGAAGGACGUGCUAAUCUGCGAUAAGCGUCGGUAAGGUGAUAUGAACCGUUAUAACCGGCGAUUUCCGAAUGGGGAAACCCAGUGUGUUUCGACACACUAUCAUUAACUGAAUCCAUAGGUUAAUGAGGCGAACCGGGGGAACUGAAACAUCUAAGUACCCCGAGGAAAAGAAAUCAACCGAGAUUCCCCCAGUAGCGGCGAGCGAACGGGGAGGAGCCCAGAGCCUGAAUCAGUGUGUGUGUUAGUGGAAGCGUCUGGAAAGGCGCGCGAUACAGGGUGACAGCCCCGUACACAAAAAUGCACAUGCUGUGAGCUCGAUGAGUAGGGCGGGACACGUGGUAUCCUGUCUGAAUAUGGGGGGACCAUCCUCCAAGGCUAAAUACUCCUGACUGACCGAUAGUGAACCAGUACCGUGAGGGAAAGGCGAAAAGAACCCCGGCGAGGGGAGUGAAAAAGAACCUGAAACCGUGUACGUACAAGCAGUGGGAGCACGCUUAGGCGUGUGACUGCGUACCUUUUGUAUAAUGGGUCAGCGACUUAUAUUCUGUAGCAAGGUUAACCGAAUAGGGGAGCCGAAGGGAAACCGAGUCUUAACUGGGCGUUAAGUUGCAGGGUAUAGACCCGAAACCCGGUGAUCUAGCCAUGGGCAGGUUGAAGGUUGGGUAACACUAACUGGAGGACCGAACCGACUAAUGUUGAAAAAUUAGCGGAUGACUUGUGGCUGGGGGUGAAAGGCCAAUCAAACCGGGAGAUAGCUGGUUCUCCCCGAAAGCUAUUUAGGUAGCGCCUCGUGAAUUCAUCUCCGGGGGUAGAGCACUGUUUCGGCAAGGGGGUCAUCCCGACUUACCAACCCGAUGCAAACUGCGAAUACCGGAGAAUGUUAUCACGGGAGACACACGGCGGGUGCUAACGUCCGUCGUGAAGAGGGAAACAACCCAGACCGCCAGCUAAGGUCCCAAAGUCAUGGUUAAGUGGGAAACGAUGUGGGAAGGCCCAGACAGCCAGGAUGUUGGCUUAGAAGCAGCCAUCAUUUAAAGAAAGCGUAAUAGCUCACUGGUCGAGUCGGCCUGCGCGGAAGAUGUAACGGGGCUAAACCAUGCACCGAAGCUGCGGCAGCGACGCUGAUGCGUUGUUGGGUAGGGGAGCGUUCUGUAAGCCUGCGAAGGUGUGCUGUGAGGCAUGCUGGAGGUAUCAGAAGUGCGAAUGCUGACAUAAGUAACGAUAAAGCGGGUGAAAAGCCCGCUCGCCGGAAGACCAAGGGUUCCUGUCCAACGUUAAUCGGGGCAGGGUGAGUCGACCCCUAAGGCGAGGCCGAAAGGCGUAGUCGAUGGGAAACAGGUUAAUAUUCCUGUACUUGGUGUUACUGCGAAGGGGGGACGGAGAAGGCUAUGUUGGCCGGGCGACGGUUGUCCCGGUUUAAGCGUGUAGGCUGGUUUUCCAGGCAAAUCCGGAAAAUCAAGGCUGAGGCGUGAUGACGAGGCACUACGGUGCUGAAGCAACAAAUGCCCUGCUUCCAGGAAAAGCCUCUAAGCAUCAGGUAACAUCAAAUCGUACCCCAAACCGACACAGGUGGUCAGGUAGAGAAUACCAAGGCGCUUGAGAGAACUCGGGUGAAGGAACUAGGCAAAAUGGUGCCGUAACUUCGGGAGAAGGCACGCUGAUAUGUAGGUGAAGUCCCUUGCGGAUGGAGCUGAAAUCAGUCGAAGAUACCAGCUGGCUGCAACUGUUUAUUAAAAACACAGCACUGUGCAAACACGAAAGUGGACGUAUACGGUGUGACGCCUGCCCGGUGCCGGAAGGUUAAUUGAUGGGGUCAGCGCAAGCGAAGCUCUUGAUCGAAGCCCCGGUAAACGGCGGCCGUAACUAUAACGGUCCUAAGGUAGCGAAAUUCCUUGUCGGGUAAGUUCCGACCUGCACGAAUGGCGUAAUGAUGGCCAGGCUGUCUCCACCCGAGACUCAGUGAAAUUGAACUCGCUGUGAAGAUGCAGUGUACCCGCGGCAAGACGGAAAGACCCCGUGAACCUUUACUAUAGCUUGACACUGAACAUUGAGCCUUGAUGUGUAGGAUAGGUGGGAGGCUUUGAAGUGUGGACGCCAGUCUGCAUGGAGCCGACCUUGAAAUACCACCCUUUAAUGUUUGAUGUUCUAACGUUGACCCGUAAUCCGGGUUGCGGACAGUGUCUGGUGGGUAGUUUGACUGGGGCGGUCUCCUCCUAAAGAGUAACGGAGGAGCACGAAGGUUGGCUAAUCCUGGUCGGACAUCAGGAGGUUAGUGCAAUGGCAUAAGCCAGCUUGACUGCGAGCGUGACGGCGCGAGCAGGUGCGAAAGCAGGUCAUAGUGAUCCGGUGGUUCUGAAUGGAAGGGCCAUCGCUCAACGGAUAAAAGGUACUCCGGGGAUAACAGGCUGAUACCGCCCAAGAGUUCAUAUCGACGGCGGUGUUUGGCACCUCGAUGUCGGCUCAUCACAUCCUGGGGCUGAAGUAGGUCCCAAGGGUAUGGCUGUUCGCCAUUUAAAGUGGUACGCGAGCUGGGUUUAGAACGUCGUGAGACAGUUCGGUCCCUAUCUGCCGUGGGCGCUGGAGAACUGAGGGGGGCUGCUCCUAGUACGAGAGGACCGGAGUGGACGCAUCACUGGUGUUCGGGUUGUCAUGCCAAUGGCACUGCCCGGUAGCUAAAUGCGGAAGAGAUAAGUGCUGAAAGCAUCUAAGCACGAAACUUGCCCCGAGAUGAGUUCUCCCUGACUCCUUGAGAGUCCUGAAGGAACGUUGAAGACGACGACGUUGAUAGGCCGGGUGUGUAAGCGCAGCGAUGCGUUGAGCUAACCGGUACUAAUGAACCGUGAGGCUUAACCUU
rnacentral:rRNA from 1 species